AUAGCAAAUAAAAAUUGAAUAAUCCAAUUAUAUAACACAAUUUCGAUUAAAAUUUCUACGUGAGAAAAUUUCGCGCCUUUAAAGUCCCGCGUAUUUCCUGCAAACAUUUCUUCGGUAGUGAUCCCUUCCAUUCGAUCAGUUUUCAGGAAGAGAGUGCAAUUCGAAUUAUCAUAGUUCGUGCCAGAGAUCGUGUCACUGAUCGGUUAGACAGAAACUAUUAAUUAGACAUGGUUAGGUACUUCUAGGUGUCGGCAAUGCUCUACGUGUCAUCACUGGCUAGAAAACGCGUUUCUAGUCGUUCAAUGACAUGCAUCGCUUGUUCAUUCAUACUUCGCAAUAGUUUUAGAAGAGAAACCGACACGCGUCACGAGUUGGUCUACGCGCGCAUCUGCACGCGCGGAAUUCAAAACAAGAUUCAAGUAAAAUGUCUCAAGGGCAACGACAUGUUACGAGAGUAUUGAAAUCUCGUAAGAAAAUCAACCAGUAGCUAUUACGAAAUCGUGACUUCAGCCUGAGGUUUUUGCCACUCCAAAGGUUUACGACGAUACAUGGGCCAUGGGGGUACAGUGAUUAGGACGGCUAAUACGAAUCCAGCUCCAAGUACAGCUCGGUGCCAGGUACUUGACCGAGGGAGCAGGUGUAUGGACGAACUGCAAAGAGGACGAGUUUGCCUAUGCAGAAG
rnacentral:lncRNA from 1 species